rnacentral:siRNA from 1 species
UCAUUCUGAUCAUCCUGCC